AGGCAAGCUCUCUUCCCUACUCCUCCCUGGCUGCCUUCUGGAUCUUUCCUUUAUCUUUGCAGUUGACUCUUUUUAAUUUUCAAUUCUGCUUUGGGUUUACCGAACUUUUUGGAUCUGAAAACACAUCUCUCACUCAAGCUAGGAAAAGUUCAACCACAGUUUUUUUUUUUUUCUAGUUAACACAUAAAACAAUGGAUUUCAUUUAUAUCACUGACUUCGUUCAUAUUCACACCCCUCAUUCCCACCUCUGCAGGCUCCCUUCGCUCCCUUCUGUUUUCAUGCCCCCAGCUACUACUUCUUUAAGCUAAAGUCCUUCUUCCUGCGUCUGAUUUAUUUUGCUUAACAUGAUGGAUGAUCUCUAGCUCUGUUAAUUUCCUAAAAAUAGCAUCUCCUCCUCUUCCUCCUCCUCCUUUCUGAAUAAAAUACCACUAUGUGAGUAUGUAUGUCACAUUUUCUUUAUUGACCUGAUUCCAUGUCUUGGCUGAUGUGUAUAAAGCCUUGGUAAACAUGCAUGUGCCUGAGUCAAUGGACAUGCCAGAAUUUCUUCCAAUGACUCUUUUGCACGAUUCUCUCCAUCUCUGUUUGAAAUUACAGGAACAGAUACAUCCAGAAGCCUUACGUUUCCAAUGUUUUUCUGCUCAUUUUAAGGAAUGUUUCCUCUGUUCUUCAGAAGAUCUCCUGGGACAUCCGGUCUGAGGGGCUAGCAGGGGCAUUCAGGUCCCUCUAUUAAUGAAUAACCGGAAGCUCAGGAGUAGAGUGCAGAGUGGCCUCAGAAGACUGUCAAGGACAGAAGGACAAGGCAAGCCAUUGAAGAAUUCCUCACCUUAACCAAGCUGUUUUCUUCCUGAUAGAUUGGUCAUGGGCCAAUGCCCUCCCUGUGAUAGGAGCCACCUCUGGCUUCCCAGGAACUUUGCGACCCUAAUAGAAGAGGAAACAGGUUUCAGUAGUCCCUGGGUUUUUCUCUGUGUAGCCCAGUCCCACUGGACCAGUUUCUCUCUGCCUACCAGGUUCUCUCAGCCACAUAUAACAUAACUAUUCAGAGACUUCAUAUAUAUUUGUAAUUGUUUGGCUAAUGGCUUAGGCUUAUUACUGGCUAGCUCUCUCUCUCUCUUACAAAUUAACCUUUUUCUACUAAUCUGUGUAGCACCAUGUGACUGUGACUUACUGGCGAUACCCCGAUAUCUUGCCUCCCCAGAGGCUACAUGGUAUCUUCCUGACUCUGCCUUCCCUCUCUCUGCAUCUUUGUUUGGAAUUCCCACCUAGCUAUAUUUUACCUAUCCAUUGGCCAAAACAGCUUUAUUCAUCAACCAAUAAAAGCAACACAUAUUUACA
rnacentral:lncRNA from 1 species